AUUGAACGCUGGCGGCAGGCCUAACACAUGCAAGUCGAGCGGAUGAAGGGAGCUUGCUCCUGGAUUCAGCGGCGGACGGGUGAGUAAUGCCUAGGAAUCUGCCUGGUAGUGGGGGAUAACGUCCGGAAACGGGCGCUAAUACCGCAUACGUCCUGAGGGAGAAAGUGGGGGAUCUUCGGACCUCACGCUAUCAGAUGAGCCUAGGUCGGAUUAGCUAGUUGGUGGGGUAAAGGCCUACCAAGGCGACGAUCCGUAACUGGUCUGAGAGGAUGAUCAGUCACACUGGAACUGAGACACGGUCCAGACUCCUACGGGAGGCAGCAGUAGGGAAUAUUGGACAAUGGGCGAAAGCCUGAUCCAGCCAUGCCGCGUGUGUGAAGAAGGUCUUCGGAUUGUAAAGCACUUUAAGUUGGGAGGAAGGGCAGUGAGUUAAUACCUCGCUGUUUUGACGUUACCAACAGAAUAAGCACCGGCUAACUUCGUG
rnacentral:rRNA from 1 species